AACGGUCUAUACCUGCGGUACCUGCGGAAGGAUCAUUAAUAAAGGUUGUCGAGUAAAACUCGACAUUCCAGAUCAUUUCUUUGUGCACUUUCGAUAAAUGCUUUGGUAGAUUUUUCGAAAUCUACCAAAAGUUUUAUUUAAAGCCUUUCUUGAUGUCUGAAAUAAAAAAUUUAAUUCAAAUACAACUUUCAACAACGGAUCUCU
rnacentral:misc_RNA from 1 species